rnacentral:rRNA from 1 species
GUGCCAGCCGCCGCGGUAAUACGGAGGGGGCUAGCGUUGUUCGGAAUUACUGGGCGUAAAGCGCGCGUAGGCGGACUAUUAAGUCAGGGGUGAAAUCCCGGGGCUCAACCCCGGAACUGCCUUUGAUACUGGUAGUCUAGAGUUCGAGAGAGGUGAGUGGAACUCCGAGUGUAGAGGUGAAAUUCGUAGAUAUUCGGAAGAACACCAGUGGCGAAGGCGGCUCACUGGCUCGAUACUGACGCUGAGGUGCGAAAGUGUGGGGAGCAAACAGGAUUAGAAACCCGGUAGUCC